rnacentral:rRNA from 1 species
GAUGAACGCUAGCUACAGGCUUAACACAUGCAAGUCGAGGGGAAACGGCAUCGAAAGCUUGCUUUUGAUGGGCGUCGACCGGCGCACGGGUGAGUAACGCGUAUCCAACCUGCCCAUCACUUGGGAAUAACCUUGCGAAAGUAAGACUAAUGCCCAAUGACAUCCCACGAAGGCAUCCGAAUGGGAUUAAAGAUUUAUCGGUGAUGGAUGGGAUGCGUCUGAUUAGCUUGUUGGCGGGGUGACGGCCCACCAAGGCAACGAUCAGUAGGGGUUCUGAGAGGAAGGUCCCCCACAUUGGAACUGAGACACGGUCCAAACUCCUACGGGAGGCAGCAGUGAGGAAUAUUGGUCAAUGGGCGAGAGCCUGAACCAGCCAAGUAGCGUGCAGGAUGACGGCCCUAUGGGUUGUAAACUGCUUUUAUAAGGGAAUAAAGUGGGUCACGUGUGACUUUUUGCAUGUACCUUAUGAAUAAGGACCGGCUAAUUCCGUG